rnacentral:rRNA from 1 species
UACGUAGGGGGGCAAGCGUUGUCCGGAAUCAUUGGGCGUAAAGAGCGUGUAGGCGGUCCGGUAAGUCGGCUGUGAAAGUCCAGGGCUCAACCCUGGGAUGCCGGUGGAUACUGUCGGGCUCGAGUCCGGAAGAGGCGAGUGGAAUUCCUGGUGUAGCGGUGAAAUGCGCAGAUAUCAGGAGGAACACCAAUGGCGAAGGCAGCUCGCUGGGACGUGACUGACGCUGAGACGCGAAAGCGUGGGGACAAACAGG